rnacentral:hammerhead_ribozyme from 1 species
AUUCAGAUGACGAGUGCCAAAUAGGACGAAAUGCGCAUCCUGGAU